GCUUGAUGGGCUCGGCGCCCAAGCGCAGGUUCGAAUCCUGCCCCCGCC
rnacentral:misc_RNA from 1 species